rnacentral:rRNA from 1 species
UGUUAGGGAAGAACAAGUAUCGGAGUAACUGCCGGUACCUUGACGGUACCUAACCAGAAAGCCACGGCUAACUACGUGCCAGCAGCCGCGGUAAUACGUAGGUGGCAAGCGUUGUCCGGAAUUAUUGGGCGUAAAGCGCGCGCAGGCGGUCCUUUAAGUCUGAUGUGAAAGCCCACGGCUCAACCGUGGAGGGUCAUUGGAAACUGGGGGACUUGAGUGCAGAAGAGGAGAGUGGAAUUCCACGUGUAGCGGUGAAAUGCGUAGAGAUGUGGAGGAACACCAGUGGCGAAGGCGACUCUCUGGUCUGUAACUGACGCUGAGGCGCGAAAGCGUGGGGAGCGAACAGGA